rnacentral:rRNA from 1 species
GACGAACUGUGCAAACGUUAUUCGGAAUCACUGGGCUUGAAGAGUGCGUAGGCGGUUUCGUAAGUAGGGUGUGAAAGCCCCCAGCUCAACUGGGGAACUGCGUCCUAAACUGCGAGGCUGGAGUGAGGUAGGGGUGUGUGGAACUUCCGGUGGAGCGGUGAAAUGUGUUGAUAUCGGAAGGAACGCCGGUGGCGAAAGCGACACACUGGGCCUUGUCUGACGCUGAGGCACGAAAGCUAGGGGAGCAAACGGG